rnacentral:tRNA from 1 species
GGGCUAUAGCUCAGUUGGUUAGAGCGCUACGUUGACAUCGUAGAGGUCACUGGUUCGAAUCCAGUUAGCCCC